CCUUGGUUUUUUAACCAUCAUAGACACAGAAAAAACAGCUCUGGGCCCCAAAACCGCCUCAGUUCAAGACCAGCUUGGUCCUGGGGCCACCUACUGCUGCUACAGGAAUACUGCUUAGAUGGAGUGGUUUUUUGAACAAAUAUUAAAAGCUAUGAAGAAAUUACAUGCUAUAAUUUCAUAAAAGGGGAGACAAGCAGAAAUGACAAGAAAGGAGAGCUUUUCCACUUUUGAAGAUUAUUGCAAUAAAGACAUUUUCAGAGGAGGAAGCGCAUGCUCCCAACAUACAUCAUCAGAAGUAUAUAUUUUUAGACAAUAUAAAGAUUUCUCAAACAUAAAAGGAGCUGAUGGCAAUCAAAGCCGUAUUGUAGGGGCUACUGUUGCUGGGGCCACGCGGUUGCCUUCUGAUUUCAUUUUUGAUUGAUUUUUCUCCUCCACUUUAAUACUAUGCUAGUACUACACAAAAGUAAGCGCAUAAUAGUCCACAAUCUUCUCCUCAGCACUAUUAACAGCCUACUAUCAGCCACCCUGAGAGGGCUUAUCAAGAAAGCAAGCAACAGAGGGAAAGGAGAAGAAAAUUUAACUAAAAGACUGUGUUACCAGAUACUAGUUUUAUGAACAAUAUAACAAUCUGAAUACUCCAGUGAUUGGAAAAUGUAAUCAUAAAACAUGUGCAGAGCAGUAUGAGCUGCUUUCUUGGAGACACGACAGAAACAGCAGGUCCUGAAGAAAAGUCAAUGACUGAAAUUCCACUUUUGAGCAAUCUUUCCUUCUUACAUUGCCCAUUCGCAGGAAAGAGAAAAGCUAGUGGGAGAUUCAAAUAUUGGAGACUACUGUUCCUCUCUGCCAUCCUCUCUGGACAACAAGGUUGUCACAUUAUCCAUACCAUCCCAGAACAUGAGAGACACUUUUAUGCACCCUCCUACCUCUUCAUGAAAUGACAACAUUUGUGCACAAUUGCCAUAUGCAGAACACAAACCCAAAAGAAGCAGCACGAGGGCCGUUUAUGCUGCGACGUGUGAAGUACUCCCACUGCCUCUACCACCCUUGAAUGCCGACCUCCACUAACAGCAGCUUGUCUUCUCAUCCAUCUAGACUGGAAGCACUCAGAGCACGGCUGAGAUCUUGGAAGAAUUACCACCCAAAAAAGCCUUUUUCCAUUAACUUCAGUGCAACCAGGAUUCACCUCCAGUCUGCGCUGAAACAUUAAUCAGUGCUCGUAAACUUUAAUUAAAACUGCUUCUCUCUCUGGGCCUGUGUUCAACACUUUUUUCACUGCUCAUUUGCUCUACAAACAGAUGACUCUAGGCUUCUGUAAAAACCAAAAGGUUUUAUGACAUAGUAAAACAUUUCUGGUUAUGUUCUACUGAACUGUUUACCUGUUCUCCCCAAAUAUUUUAUUUCUAUAUCCUGCUAAUACAGGAGAAUAUUAUUUUUUUCUUUUGAGAUUUUUCAGAUGAAGAGGUUUUGUCAAAUUUCAGAUGAAACAGGUGAACUGCAACUAUACAUCUAAGAUAGGCCUAUCAUUUAGUAUUACCAACUUUUUAAUAGUUAUGUAACUAAUCAAGUGGAUGGAGAUAUACAGACUUUAUUUCCAGCUGUUUUCAGUACAUUUCCAAGUCGUGUAAGACCAUCUACUGCUAUCAAAGAGCAAGUUAACAAAGCUAAUAAAGAGGCCUUG